AAGUCGUAACAAGGUUUCCGUAGGUGAACCUGCGGAAGGAUCAUUAACACGUAUCCAAACGUAAAACCCCCCCCGUGAACAUUCAAUCCUGCUCUUGUAGCCCGGAAAGUAGUUUUGAUUCAGAGACCUCUGGCUACGUGAGAACAUUGGAACAGUUACAAUCGAGCGGUAGUUUCAUAGGCAUUGUUUCCCCAAGCAGUUAGUGUCUGAAAGUGUCACUGAUUGUGCAAGGAUAGCGCUUCAACGAUUCCUGUAGACCGUACACUCGGGCAGGAGCUAUGCCAAAGGGUCCCCAUGCCCCCUUAUAACCCCACAGUUUAAUGUGAAGCUCAAUGUAAUACAUUGGGUAAAAAAACCGAACAACUGUUAACAAUGGAUAUCUUGGUUCUC
rnacentral:misc_RNA from 1 species